rnacentral:rRNA from 2 species
CAGGCCUAACACAUGCAAGGUCGAGGGGCAGCACGAGUAGCAAUACUUGGUGGCGACCGGCGCACGGGUGCGUAACGCGUAUGCAACCUACCUUUAACUGGAGCAUAGCCCCGAGAAAUCGGGAUUAAUACUCCAUAACAACAAGAAGUGGCAUCACUUUUUAUUUAAAGCUUUGGCGGUUAAAGAUGGGCAUGCGUGACAUUAGUUUGUUGGUGAGGUAACGGCUCACCAAGACUACGAUGUCUAGGGGUUCUGAGAGGAUUAACCCCCACACUGGUACUGAGACACGGACCAGACUCCUACGGGAGGCAGCAGUGAGGAAUAUUGGUCAAUGGACGCAAGUCUGAACCAGCCAUGCCGCGUGCAGGAUGAAGGCCUUAUGGGUUGUAAACUGCUUUUAUACGGGAAUAAACUUAGCUAUGUAUAGCUAACUGCAGGUACCGUACGAAUAAGCACCGGCUAACUCCGUGCCAGCAGCCGCGGUAAUACAAGGGC